GCAAGUCGAACGAGAACGGGAUAUAGCUUGCUAUAACUGUCUGCUAAGCGGCGCACGGGUGAGUAAUAUAUAGUUAACCUGCCCCAAAGAAGAGAAUAAUUGUUGGAAACGACUUGUAAUGCUCUAUAUGCCUCUAUUACAUAAGUAAGCGAGGGAAACAUUUAUGGCUGUGGGAUGGGACUGUACGGUAUCAGCUUGUUGGUGAGGUAAUGGCUCACCAAGGCUAUGACGCCUAACUGGUUUGAGAGGAUGAUC
rnacentral:rRNA from 1 species